rnacentral:rRNA from 1 species
AUUGAACGCUGGCGGCAGGCCUAACACAUGCAAGUCGAGCGGAUGAAGGGAGCUUGCUUCUGGAUUCAGCGGCGGACGGGUGAGUAAUGCCUAGGAAUCUGCCUGGUAGUGGGGGAUAACGUCCGGAAACGGGCGCUAAUACCGCAUACGUCCUGAGGGAGAAAGUGGGGGAUCUUCGGACCUCACGCUAUCAGAUGAGCCUAGGUCGGAUUAGCUAGUUGGUGGGGUAAAGGCCUACCAAGGCGACGAUCCGUAACUGGUCUGAGAGGAUGAUCAGUCACCCUGGAACUGAGACACGGUCCAGACUCCUACGGGAGGCAGCAGUGGGGAAUAUUGGACAAUGGGCGAAAGCCUGAUCCAGCCAUGCCGCGUGUGUGAAGAAGGUCUUCGGAUUGUAAAGCACUUUAAGUUGGGAGGAAGGGCAGUAAGUUAAUACCUUGCUGUUUUGACGUUACCAACAGAAUAAGCACCGGCUAACUUCGUG